UACGUAGGGGGCUAGCGUUGUCCGGAUUUAUUGGGCGUAAAGAGCGUGUAGGCGGCCAGAUAGGUCUGCUGUGAAAACUCGAGGCUCAACCUCGAGCUGUCGGCGGAAACCAUUUGGCUAGAGUCCGGAAGAGGAGAGUGGAAUUCCCGGUGUAGCGGUGAAAUGCGCAGAUAUCGGGAAGAACACCCGUGGCGAAGGCGGUUCUCUGGGACGGUACUGACGCUGAGACGCGAAAGCGUGGGGAGCGAACAGG
rnacentral:rRNA from 1 species